rnacentral:sRNA from 1 species
UCUGAAAGAUCCGUCCUUCUUCGGGACAAG